rnacentral:tRNA from 1 species
GCGGAUGUAGCCAAGUGGAUUAAGGCAGUGGAUUGUGAAC